GACGAAGGAUGCAAGCGUUAUCCGGAUUCAUUGGGUUUAAAGGGAGCGUAGGUGGCCUUAUAAGUCAGUGGUGAAAUCUCUGGGCUUAACCCAGAAAUUGCCAUUGAUACUGUAGGGCUUGAGUACAGUUGCUGUGGGCGGAAUAUGACAUGUAGUGGUGAAAUACAUAGAGAUGCCAUAGAACACCGAUUGCGAAGGCAGCUCACAAAAACUGUAACUGACACUGAGGCUCGAAAAGUGCGGGGAUCAAACAGG
rnacentral:rRNA from 1 species